CUGAAAGGUAGCCGCCUGCCAGCCAGUCAGUUACAAUUUUGAGUGAAAUUCUCCCCAAAAAUAGAUGCUGCGAUUUUUGUUUGUUUGUCAUUUCUUUACCGUUAUGUUGUAAAUGAAAGUUAAAUAUUUGUGAGUUUUGGUUGGCAUGUAGCUCAAGAGGAGAUUUGUGUUGGGAUGCAACAUUAAUGUUUUGUAUGUGUAUAAAAGGCAGGUGUAAUAUUGGCAUGAAUGGUAUAACAAAUUACGGUAAUUUAGAACACUUGUUCAUACAUUUAUAUGGGAAUUCAAAAUGUAAAUUUAAAAUGUCAAGGUUUGUUCCGUAGCACUCGAUUUUACAAUAAAUGUGCUAAAUGCAAAUGGUGAAAAUUUA